rnacentral:rRNA from 1 species
AUGCCCAUCUCAGACUCAAAAUUGAAAAAAGGGGAACUACAACCGGUGUGUGAUAAAAUCCUAGGAAGGAUGAAGGGGUGGAAACUGGCCCUGUUAAGUCUGGACGGGAGGUUGGACUUGGUUAAGAAGGUCUUGUCAGCAAUGCCAAUCUUCCAAAUGAUUGCAAUUCAUAUGCCAACCUGCCUCGAGAAGAUGAUCGACAAGGUCAGGAGAGGGUUUCUUUGGGAAAGCAAGGAAGAGGCCACUAGUGGCAAAUGCUUGGUAAACUGGAAAAGGGUAUGUCGCCCAACUGAAUUUGGUGGCCUAGGGAUCAUAAAUCUUGCGGCGCAGAGUAUUGCGCUCCGUGCCAGGUGGCUUUGGCAAACGUGGACUGAUGGGAGUAAACCGUGGCUUGGUCUGGACAUGCCUAUCGACCCGAAGGUCAGGGUAAUGGAGAGCGAAUUUCCUUCUGGAAGGAACCAUGGCACAACGGCGUCAGCCUCCAGAACACCUACCCGACGUUGUUCGCGCACUGCACCAGGAAAAACUUAA